rfam:Schistosoma haematobium scaffold1239_17, whole genome shotgun sequence.
AUCCAGCAGACGAGUCCGAAAUAGGACGAAACACGCGACCUGGAU